UCUGAUCAAUGAUUGAUAUCUUUAAAUGUGACUGUUGGAUGAAACAUGCGGAUAUGGGACUGAGAUCAGAA
ensembl:snoRNA